rnacentral:rRNA from 1 species
ACGGGGAGGUAGUGACAAAAAAUAACGAUACGGGACUCAUCCGAGGCCCCGUAAUCGGAAUGAGAACACCCUAAAUCCUUUAACGAGGAUCUAUUGGAGGGCAAGUCUGGUGCCAGCAGCCGCGGUAAUUCCAGCUCCAAUAGCGUAUAUUAAAGUUGUUGCGGUUAAAAAGCUCGUAGUUGGUUCUGCGUGCCACGCUGUCGGUUCACCGCCUGCCGGUGCAACUGGCAUGCCGUGGCAUGUCCUGUCGGUGGCGGAUGGGCUCGUGGCGUGCCCUAUGCGGUAUCCACCGUGUAGGCUGCCGCGCCGCGAUGUUCUGUUCGCCGGCUCAAUCCUACCGCGGUGCUCUUUACCGAGUGUCGAGGUAGGCCGACACUGUUUACUUUGAACAAAUUAGAGUGCUUAAAGCAGGCUCUUAAAUCAGCCUGAAUAGUGGUGCAUGGAAUAAUGGAACAGGACCUUGGUUCUAUUUUGUUGGUUUUCGGAAUCCAAGGUAAUGAUCAAUAAGGACAGGCGGGGGCAUUCGUAUUGCGGCGUUAGAG